AUGAAGCUCUGUGGUCUUUUAAGAUGCUGCCUAACGGUGCCCAACGAGGAUUCUGUGGAGGUGGGCAAUGCCAGUGCAGAGCCUGUGGAGAAAGAGGCUCCCCUCACGGCAAGGCCCAUGUCUCGCCCGAGACUGGACUGGCACAAGACCCUGCAGCCUGGGAGAUAUGAGGAUCUAACCCCAGUGGAGAGAGACCAGUUGGAGGAGGAGAGGAGGAGGAGGCUGCUUGGUUGGCUUAACCAAAGAGAGGCUGCUAAAGAGAAGGCUAAUGCUAGCAGGGAUGCUAGUCCAGAAGUUGUGUUGGAUUCUGUGGAGAUGGGCAAUGCCAGUGCAGUGCCUGUGGAGAAAGAGGCUCCCCUCACGGCAAGGCCCAUGUCUCGUCCGAGACUGGACUGGCACAAGACCCUGCAGCCUGGGAGAUAUGAGGAUCUAACCCCAGUGGAGAGAGACCAGUUGGAGGAGGAGAGGAGGAGGAGGCUGCUUGGUUGGCUUAACCAAAGAGAGGCUGCUAAAGAGAAGGCUAAUGCUAGCAGGGAUGCUAGUCCAGAAGUUGUGUUGGAUUCUGUGGAGAUGGGCAAUGCCAGUGCAGUGCCUGUGGAGAAAGAGGCUCCCCUCACGGCAAGGCCCAUGUCUCGUCCGAGACUGGACUGGCACAAGACCCUGCAGCCUGGGAGAUAUGAGGAUCUAACCCCAGUGGAGAGAAACCAGCUGGAGGAGGAGAGGAGGAGGAGGCUGCUUGGUUGGCUUAACCGAAGAGAGGCUGCUAAAGAGAAGGCUAAUGCUAGCAGGGAUGCUAGUCCAGAAGUUGUGUUGGAUUCUGUGGAGAUGGGCAAUGCCAGUGCAGAGCCUGAGGAGAAAGAGGCUCCCCUCACGGCAAGGCCCAUGUCUAGUCAGAGACUGGACCAGAAUAACUACCAUCCAAGAGUGCACAGGGGUGACCAGCAGACCCUGCAGCCUGGGAGGUGCGAUGAUCUAACCCCAGCAGAGAGAGACCAGCUGGAGGAGGAGAAAAGGAAGUGGCUGCUUGGCUGGUUUAAACGGAGGGAGGCUGCGAAGGAGAAGGCUCAAACUGUAACCAGUAUCAGUGAGCCUGAGAAGGCGGUGGAGAAAGAGGCUCUGGAGACAGUGCCGGAGAAACAACGAGAGGCAGAUGAGGGAGAAAAUGAGGCAAAGAUGAACAGUGAUUCCGCAGGGGAAACCCCUUGUGGGAUAACGGGUGAUGUGUCUGCCCAUCUGAACUUGUCAUGUAAGUAUCCCUUCAUCAAACAUCAACCUCCCUCAUCUCUAUUCAUUCUCUAA
rnacentral:lncRNA from 1 species